rnacentral:rRNA from 1 species
GAACGCUGGCGGCAGGCCUAACACAUGCAAGUCGAGCGGUAGAGAGAAGCUUGCUUCUCUUGAGAGCGGCGGACGGGUGAGUAAUGCCUAGGAAUCUGCCUGGUAGUGGGGGAUAACGCUCGGAAACGGACGCUAAUACCGCAUACGUCCUACGGGAGAAAGCAGGGGACCUUCGGGCCUUGCGCUAUCAGAUGAGCCUAGGUCGGAUUAGCUAGUUGGUGAGGUAAUGGCUCACCAAGGCGACGAUCCGUAACUGGUCUGAGAGGAUGAUCAGUCACACUGGAACUGAGACACGGUCCAGACUCCUACGGGAGGCAGCAGUGGGGAAUAUUGGACAAUGGGCGAAAGCCUGAUCCAGCCAUGCCGCGUGUGUGAAGAAGGUCUUCGGAUUGUAAAGCACUUUAAGUUGGGAGGAAGGGCAGUAACCUAAUACGUUAUUGUUUUGACGUUACCGACAGAAUAAGCACCGGCUAACUCUGUGCCAGCAGCCGCGGUAAUACAGAGGGUGCAAGCGUUAAUCGGAAUUACUGGGCGUAAAGCGCGCGUAGGUGGUUUGUUAAGUUGAAUGUGAAAUCCCCGGGCUCAACCUGGGAACUGCAUCCAAAACUGGCAAGCUAGAGUAGGGCAGAGGGUGGUGGAAUUUCCUGUGUAGCGGUGAAAUGCGUAGAUAUAGGAAGGAACACCAGUGGCGAAGGCGACCACCUGG